GCCUUGGUAGUGUAACGGUUACCACACCCCGGCCUUCUUUCUGUAGCAUCCGUAAACGUUCUCGGGGAGCUCCUGGUUCAAGUCCAGGCCAGGGCG